CCCCACAAGCCACGGAAAGGAGGGGAUGGUUCCAGUUAUGAGCGGCGCAGAGACGACCAUCUUUCCCUGAUCCCUUUCUCUCCUCUGUCUCUCCUGUUCGUUGUCCAUGCAGAAAUCCCCCACAUCUCCCACCCAAAUCCCAUCGAUCAGCGGCGAAGAAGGAAGGGCACGGCUGGUGGGGAAAUCGCCGCCGUGACUGCGUGCAGGGGGAGAUUCGUGUAGUAGCGGCUAGGCGAAGAGAUCUCCCCGUCGUGUAGAUCCGGCAACCGUAGAUCGGCAAGGCGGGAUGGGCACGGUGAGGGGCCACCAUCCGGCGAUGGGCGGCCGCUGCGGGGGCCCGACGUCGCUGCGGUGCUCCAGCUCGCCGGCGUAGGAGUUCGCGGCGCUAGUGUCUGUGUUCGGGCGGCUGGUGGUGGGGACGACCAUGGCGGCGGCCGUGGGGGCCGACUUUGGGGCGUCAUCAGGUUCCUCCUCAGGAUGUCCCCGGAGCUCGGGCGUUCGCUGAGGCUCAAUGUGCUCUACCCCAUCUGCGGCUUCACGCGAUACCUGGACCCCUCCAUUGAUUCGAUAUGCGUGUAAGCAGUUUGCCCCAUCCAACCAAUGGCAUGGGAUAGCAAUCUAAUCGCCACAGUCAGAGAUGGACUUGAAGGAGUUUGAAGUGUUUGGCAAGCUACAAGUGCUGGGUGGAUGAGCUUCUAACAAACAAAUUUUGAACAUAAGUGAUCACCAAGAAGCAAUCUGCUACUAUGUCUUUUUCAGUUUUUUAGCCAUUGUUUAAAUUUUGAACUGACAUUACUGCAUUAUAGAUAUAUCUAGUAGACUAUGUGCAAACAAACCAGAACAUAUGGCUUAUAUAUGCCACCUUUUUUGUUUUUUUUCAGUAGUAUGUUCAUUUCUUUCCCGUGUCUGUGUGAGUUGCACAAUAUGAAACAAAAGUUGGUUGGAUUACCUAAAAUAGUUGGUCGCAACCAACACAAAAGUUGCACAAUAUGCAAUUCCAUGUUUGUGUGUUCCUGGGUUUUGUGUGUGCUUUUGCAUAAGUUUUGAAGAAUUAUUUUUCUUCUAUGCAUUUGGUUCCUUCGACUAAUUUGUUUGUGUUCUUUUUUUCACAGACCAAAAAUGGUUGUAGAAGGAGAUGCAACUCCUAGUGAAGGAGAGGUUAUGGGGGAGGAGCUGUUGUACAUUUGUGCACAUAAUUCUCAACUACAGAGUCACAUAUACUGUGUGGAAAGAUCAAAGGAAAAAGACACCUGCAGACCGGAUUUUUGUCUAGUUGGUAGUUAUGUUUCACAGUACCUACAACAUACUUUUCUCUUUUUAUUCUUCUUUUUUUUGCUACAUGGACGUCGUUCUUCUGCAAUAUGUGUGUAUAAGACAUUCUAUGUGCUCUCUCCUAUAUAAUUACACAGUUUUUGCAUUU